rnacentral:rRNA from 1 species
AUAAAGUGCGUCGUAGUCCGGAUUGGAGUCUGCAACUCGACUCCAUGAAGUCGGAAUCGCUAGUAAUCGUGGAUCAGAAUGCCACGGUGAAUACGUUCCCGGGCCUUGUACACACCGCCCGUCACACCAUGGGAGUGGGUUGCAAAAGAAGUAGGUAGCUUAACCUUCGGGAGGGCGCUUACCACUUUGUGAUUCAUGACUGGGGUGAAGUCGUAACAAGGUAACCGUAGGGGAACCUGCGGUUGGAUCACCUCCUU